ensembl:ncRNA D1046.15 ncRNA
ACACUCUUUUUCAAUUUAUUUGCAUGUUCAUGCACCACUCGUUGAACACAAGAAACUGGUUUUUGACGUCAAGACGCAACACAGAAAAAACGGCAAAUUGACUGAAAAUUGACCGA